rnacentral:lncRNA from 1 species
UAUACUCUCUAAUACAAGCAUAUCUGUCUUUCUUCAAAGCAUUUAUAUCAGUUAUCAAUCUUGAUUAAUUUCUUAUUUAUGUCAAUCUUCAUCUUUAUAAUAUAAGCUCCAUGAAAGGGGCCUACCUGUUUUGCUCACCAAAUUAUCCAUACUGUCUACUUAGCACAGUGCCUGGCAUAUAAUAAAUAUUUGUUGAAUAAAUGAAUAUAUCACUCAGCCUAGGAAUCUUGGGUAGCAAGAAAUAUAGUCCAACUUUUAUCAAUAGUUCUUAAAUUUGGAAAAGUAUAUGUGUGCACAUGCACGUGUGUGUGUGUGUGUGUGUGUGUGUGUGUGUGUGUAUCUGUCCUGACAUUUACUAUUCAGGGUCAGAUAUGCUUACCAUCCUGCAGUGAACAGAGCAGUGUUGUACGAUGAAGAAUUACCUGACACCACACACAAAUAGUUCCCCUUUCUUACUUUGAGAAAUCAUAAACCAAUGGUUUGACUGAACUUCUAAGCAGGCCUUCUGUAUGAGAACAAGCAAAUAUUAAAAUCUGAUGGAGAUAAACGGAAGUGUUGUGGCAUUGAGUGUCUUCACCCCAUCUUCUCCAUACUGUAGAGAGAAUGCCAGAUUCCUGGGUCUCCACUUAAGAGCAUGAAUAUAGUAGGAAGUUGUGGCUGUUUGGCCUUGCAGACUAUGCAGACCUGUGUACCUCCAGCAACAGAAGAUGUACAGAAGACAGAUGACAAGUUCAAGAGCAGGAGAAAGUGAGGUUUGAUUUGAAUGUCUCUCUGGGAUGGAUACUUGUUUAAAAAUAUUCAUGUGUUUGUGGGGCGCCUGGGUGGCGCAGUCGGUUAAGCGUCCGACUUCAGCCAGGUCACGAUCUCGCGGUCCGUGAGUUCGAGCCCCGCGUCAGGCUCUGGGCUGAUGGCUCGGAGCCUGGAGCCUGUUUCCGAUUCUGUGUCUCCCUCUCUCUCUGCCCCUCCCCUGUUCAUGCUCUGUCUCUCUCUGUCCCAAAAAUAAAUAAAAAAUGUUGAAAAAAAUUAAAAAAAAAAAAAUUCAUGUGUUUGUAUAGGUGGAAUUGAGAGAGCUCUUUCAGAAUCUAGCAACCAACCCAUUUCCUUGUUAUUCUUUCAAAGCUGCAGUGUGAGAUUUAAAAAUUUUAUAUGAUCUUUUCUGUAAAGCAGAACCUUUAAAAUUAUAUCACGUUUGAUUUUUUGCAAUAAAUUGCAAACACUAGAGGCGCCUAGGUGGCUCAGUCAGUUGAGC